rnacentral:rRNA from 1 species
AUACGGAGGAUGCAAGCGUUAUCCGGAUUUAUUGGGUUUAAAGGGUGCGUAGGCGGAAGAUUAAGUCAGCUGUGAUAUGCCCGCGCUUAACGCGGGAAGUGCAGUUGAUACUGGUUGUCUGGAGCGCCGUUGCCGUGGGGGGAAUGUGUAGUGUAGCGGUGAAAUGCCUAGAUAUUACACAGAACGCCGAUUGUGAAGACGCCUCCGGAAGCGGUAACUGACGCUGAGGCACGAAAGCGUGGGGAUCGAACAGGAUUGGAUUCCCUGGUGGUCCACGCAGUAAGCGAUGAUGACUAACCGUCGGAGAUAGACCGCCGGUGGCCAAGCGAAAGCGAUAAGUCAUCCACCUGGGGAGUACGACCGCAAGGUUGAAACUCAAAUGAAUUGGCGGGG